UUAGAAUUCAAACCACUUGAGACCUUAGAGGGAACUCAAAGAAACACUAUGAUGCCAAGGUAGAACUUGAAAUGCCUUUGAUGGACUGUCCAUUUAAGCACGUUUGCAUCUUUGCACUCAAUUACAAAGUGGAUCCACAUCCAUAAUAUUUCCCCUUAAAAAAUAAAAAUGCCAGCAGCUAAAACAGGUUAAGAAUUCAAGCCAAUUGACACCCUAGAGCGCACUCAAAGAAACACUAUGAUGCCAAGGUAGAACUUUAAAUGCCUUUGAUGGACUUUGUCCAUUUAAGCACGUUUGCAUCUUUGCACUCAAUUACAAAGUGGAUCCAAAUCCGUAAUAUUUCGC